rnacentral:rRNA from 1 species
UAGGGAAUCUUCCACAAUGGACGAAAGUCUGAUGGAGCAACGCCGCGUGAGUGAAGAAGGUUUUCGGAUCGUAAAACUCUGUUGUGAGGGAAGAACAAGUAUGAGAGUAACUGCUCGUACCUUGACGGUACCUCAUUAGAAAGCCACGGCUAACUACGUGCCAGCAGCCGCGGUAAU